CUCUUUUAUCUCCUCUUCUUCUUCCAGCACUCUUGUUAUCCCCUCUUCUUUCUUCCAACACUCUUUUUUUGAGGACAAAAAAACUAACAAACAAGCUAAAUAUGUUUUUACAGGAACAAAAGACCAAGAAUGACUCUAGCAAUAUUUGCUAGGAUUGUAUGUCUUAGCAUAAUAGAGUCAGUCAACGGCCAGAUUUUCUUCUCGCUCGGCUUGAAAAAUACAACACCAACCUUUUCCACUGCCAUGACUUUGAUAAUGGCUUGGAUAUUUAGGGGCAACACCAAAGUCAGUAUUGGAGCUAAUGGAUGUGAAAGAUCUUACUCUAGCUCAUGUCAAAAGCCAUUUACAGGUACUUAGAAAAAAAAAAUUAGAAUAUUAAAUAGAACAAGAACAUGUAUAAAUUUUCAUUGUCUGAUUAGUCUUUUCGUAACAAACCAAAAACAUUGACAAGAAAACCAAAAGGGUAAUCCUAUGAUAACAACCAUACAAUUUUAAACUACUUGGCUACUGUUCUAAACUAUACGCAACAUUAAUUUGGCCCAUUUCCACACUUCAAAAUUGCAAAAGUAUUUAUAGAUCAACUUUUGUCCCUACAAGCCCAUUUUUUUGGGAGAAUUAUUCCAAAUGAGAAAAUGACAACAUAUAAGAGUUAAUUGGACUUAGCAUUAUAUUAAGUUUGGAAAAAACAGCCCUAAACAAUUGGCAUUAUAUACCCAAAUCCUUAAAAAAAACUUAUUGUUCUUAUUUAUUCUGUCAAUAAAAGACGAGGAUGUUUAAAUCAAAUAAAAUCUAGACUACAAAUGGAGACUCAUACUAAAUUAGAGUUUGAUGACCCUCAAAUAUGCCAAGCAAGCAUAUUGAACUUCUGUGUGCUUAUUCUCUUUUGUUAAUAGUUAGAAAAUUUACUUAGUUACAACAACAACAACAAUCAAGUAUAAUCCCACUAGCUAGCGGGCUUCUGUGUGCUUAUUCUCUUUUGUUAAUAGUUAGAAAAUUUACUUAGUUACAACAACAACAACAAUCAAGUAUAAUCCCACUAGCUAGCGGGCUUCUGUGUGCUUAUUCUCUUUUGUUAAUAGUUAGAAAAUUUACUUAGUUACAACAACAACAACAACAACAACAACAACAACCCAGUAUAAUCCCACUAGCUAGCAGGGUCUG